AGAGGAAGGGAGGGACAAGUAACCAUGGAAAAUCAUUUUCACCUUCAACUAGAUUAGGGCAACUCUGGAAAAUGACACACAGUGCUGAUACAACCAAACUUCGGAAAGGGUCUAUAAAAGCUACAAGUUGUACAGGUGAAGCAUUCCUUCUAUGGUAACAGGAACUUCCUUGGUGGGUGCAUGUUUUCAAAAUAAUUAACAAAACAUGGUGGACAGAAACUAACCACCAGCACUUUUGGGGCACACAGCACAUAUCAGCUUACGAGCCUGCAGUCCGAGAGAGUUCGAAGCAGACUGUGCUCUUUGCUCUAAGCCCAUAGUUUACCUCUCUGCUGUGUUUCUGCAACAUUUUCUUUGCCUGAAACAGUACUUCACACUGCAGACUUUAGGAAUCUGUGCUUCCCUUUACAGCAUCUGCUCUAACUCAAACCAUGAUUAACCUAAGGUCUGAUGCAUAACUUAAGACUAUACAUGCUUUCCAACAAGCAGCAGUGCGAUGUGGGCCACAUUCUUUGCCAUGAAGUUUGGGGUUCCUGCCUGCUGGUAAUGGGGACAGCUGUGCUGGUAACCUAGACCUUGGCUGCUCUCUUUCAGUGGUGCCCCAGAUGAAGCCACAGUAAGAUUGCACAACUGCAAAAAAUAUUUUUUGGCUCAUCUGGUUUAGAAAAAAAAUGAGUGUGGAAAAACACAUGGGUGGAGUCACCCCCAAUGGGGAAUAGGCACUGUCCUCAGCCUCAGCUAAGUUCUGUUGUUGACGUGAUUAUGGCUGCAAACUUGCAAAUGCUGCUUCUCUCUGGGAUCAAAGAGCCGGGCAGCCUAUCUGAUUUACCGAAUAAAGCUCGUUCAGGACCUUCAUCAAAUCAUCUUGGAGCUGCUGGCCAACUUCUUUACUCUGUAAAGAGAAGAGGAAGGAAGGUUAAUUGAAAAACAGAAGGAGAUGGGAGGUGGCACAAAGGCAAGAGCAGCACAGGCUCUACAAACGACACAGACUCAAUGACAGCCCAUUAUUUAACCCAGCCAAUCCGAUAACCAACUACGGCCCGAUUACUCCAAGAGUUUUAAUAAAUGAAACGAGCUCUUUCUAUAGAAAGAGGUAAAGCUAGCCAAUCAUGAAAGACAGAGGUGGGACCCUCUCCAAUGGAAAAGACAGUCAGCACCUGCUUUAGAAGAAAAACCAAGAACAUUUCCUGGCUUUGUGUGCUUGAUCAAGAAUAAAAUUUCUCUUGUUCACCCUUGAUCAAUAUAAAAGUUUUGCCUAUAAAGACACUUUAGUUGGAA